rnacentral:rRNA from 1 species
GACGGAGGGUGCAAGCGUUGUUCGGAUUGACUGGGCGUAAAGGGCGUGUAGGCGGUCGGCCAAGUCUGAUGUGAAAGCCCGAGGCUCAGCCUCGGAAGUGCGUCGGAAACUAGUCGGCUGGAGCGCGAUAGAGGAGGGUGGAAUUCCUGGUGUAGCGGUGAAAUGCGUAGAUAUCAGGAGGAACACCGGCGGCGAAGGCGGCCCUCUGGGACGGUACUGACGCUGAGACGCGAAAGCGUGGGGAGCGAACAGG